AGAUGUUGAUGAGGAAGGAAAAGACUCUUCUUCUGAGAGUGAUUCCAAAGAUACAGAAGAAGAUACAAGCACUGUAGAAUCUGAUUCUACAGAUUCACAAACCGAUAGUGCAAGCAGGUCAGAGACUGAUUCGAAAGGUACA